GUCGUUUGAACUUUAGUUUUUUUAUGGUUUUGUGUAGUUCCAUUUCAUAACUUUAAAGAUAAAUACGAAAUAGUAGGAAAUCCCAGCUCACCCCUGAGGAGGGAUUUCCUACUAAGGUGAGUUUUGAAAAUUGUUGGAUCGACACUUUGGGAUUAUGAACAGUAUAAUAGCUUGAUUUGUUAUUAGAAUACCUACCGUGAAACCUCCCAACUAUAGUCCAAUACUGCAACUAUGGUCCAGAAGUUCAAAAGGAAAUUAAGUAUCAAUACCAAUGUUCCUUUUGGUUUACUCCGAGUUUUUUCUUCCAU